rnacentral:rRNA from 1 species
CAGUCGCCGCGGGAAUACGAAGGGGGCUAGCGUUGUUCGGAAUUACUGGGCGUAAAGCGCACGUAGGCGGAUACUUAAGUCAGGGGUGAAAUCCCGGGGCUCGACCCCGGAACUGCCUUUGAUACUGGGUAUCUCGAGUCCGGAAGAGGUGAGUGGAAUUCCGAGUGUAGAGGUGAAAUUCGUAGAUAUUCGGAGGAACACCAGUGGCGAAGGCGGCUCACUGGUCCGGUACUGACGCUGAGGUGCGAAAGCGUGGGGAGCAAACAGGAUUAGAUACCCCUGUAGUCCCUGUCUCUUAUAC